GGUGUACAUUGAUCCGGCCUGAAAAGUUAUUAUUCAGGUCUCCCCAGCAUGUCUGAUUGUCCUGCAGUGCCUUCAGGAUGAAGUGCAGAUGGCUUUGUUCCAAUAUGGGAGCCUGGAUGUUGUCAUCUUAAUACUCCAUCUGAUAACAGCUCUGCAAUCAACCACUUUUCUCCAAGGAAUUCUGAUUGUAAAGUAGCAUUUAGAAAGUAAGAUCUGGAUACUAGGUGUGCUCAUUGCCAUUGAUUUGCCAUUAUCCUCUCAGAAGUCAGAACCAGAAAAUACACUUAUCAGAGAAAUCCAUGAGAAUGUGGUGGAGAAGAGGUCCUAGUAGAAGGAUUGUUUGAUGGGAAGAGGAAGAAUUCUCCUAGAUCAGCUCCAUCAUGUGAACUUUUGCCUCACCAAACGCCAUGUCUGGGUCCACUCGUAUGUCAGAUUUUCAUCUAGCUUGCACAAUUUGGCUUGAAAUGCAUUUCAC
rnacentral:lncRNA from 1 species